ensembl:ncRNA asRNA:CR43463 antisense RNA:CR43463
GAAUUAUUCGAUCCGAGCGAAUCGCUCACAGCGCCUUGUCCGAGUUCCUCGCCUCCUUGGCCCUGCCCUCCGCCUCCGUUGGCUUCUUCAGCUGCACAAUGUCCCAGGAGCCGCCCGCUCCGUUGGACUUGGAGCACAGAUCCAGACUGAUGAGGGCGCCCGUCGUGGGAGCAGCUGCCCGGAGGCAGGUGCCUUUGGCCAUGUUGUAGACGGGACUGUUGGCGUUGCGGGUGUGCCGCCACUGCUGAUCGCCGAGCAUCUCGUGGCACUUGUUGACCGUGACCUGCGCAUCCCCGGAUGCCUCCAGGCACAGCAACUUGUCCAGCACAAUUUCCGCCUUCUCCGUUUCGUACCACAGUUGAUUGGGUGUCCUUCGGCAGGUUUGCAAUUGCAGGGAGCUGCCCUUCUUCCAGAAACCCUUCACCUUGGGAGCCACCACGGCGGCACAGAGCUCCGUUCCCGUCAGUCGCAGCUGGAAUGUGUCGACAUAGUUACGUUUUCGCGAGUGCCAAGGCUGAAAGAUGGGCGCUGCCGCCGACUUCUUGGACUCCUCGCCCGGCACAUGCAGCUCUGGAUAGACAUUCUUUAGAUACCAGGUCUUGGGCACCUUUUCGUGCUUGAGAUAGUAAUCCUUGUACUGAUCCAUCCAGACGUGCGCCAAACGCAGUGAGUUCUUCAACAUGGUGUUGGCUCCAUCUGGCGAAGUGUACGGACGUCGUUUGCGGAAUAUGUGACCGACACGGGAGCAGGGAACGAUCUUAAUGGCGCCACCGCAUUGCCAGGCUCUGAAGGAGAUCUCUAUAUUCUCGCCACCCCAUAUAUCCAUGGCCAUGUCGUACUCGCCCAGAUGCUGGAAGUACUUCCUGUUCACGGCAAACAAUCCGCCGGCCAUGGUGGGCGAACGGAAGGGUCCGCGAAAAUCCUCCGGCACCUUGAGCGUGCCCUCGGGCAGAUUCUCCCAGCGGAAGUGCAGGCCCCAGUUGAAUCCUCCGCGCACCAGUGGACUGGGCGUGUACUCAAAGGUAUCAGCGUUGAUCAGGUCGAUGACGGGCACGGCCAGAGUGGCGUUCUCCGACUUGAUGAGGCGCAGCAGCGGCUCCAGCCACUGCUGAUUGACCUCGAUAUGCGAGUCGAGGAAGACGAGCACAUCGCCCACGGCCUCGCGUGCACCAAUGACCCGGGAACGAAUGAGACCCUCGCGCUGCUCGUUUUUGAUGUACCGCAGGUUGUCGUACUUCAGGCGGGCACGCAGAUCCCCGUGCAAAUGGAAUUCCAAUUCUGGAAGAUCGCUGUGAUCAUCCACCAGAAUAAUCUCGCGCAGCAGGUAGCUGGGCGUGCGUUCCAGCACGGUCUUAAUCGAGCGCAUCAGCGUCAUCUUGUGCUCGUUGUAGAAGCACAUGACUAUGGAGGCCUGGGGCAGAUUUUCCGCUUCCGUGGUCUCCUGGCGAUCGCACACCUUGUGCCGAGUGUCUGGGAUCGCCCGGAAGAGUCCUAUGUUAUUGGACACCAGCGCGUUGAAGGCGUGAUGCUUGUAGCCAAUGUCGCGUAUGUACUUGUCCUGCUUGUUGCGCACCACACCCAACAGUUCCAAUUGCUCCGGAUCACUGGGCGGCUUGGGUGCCGCCGGCGAUUCGCCAGUGGUAAUGCUGGCAUUUGGAGUGCAUCCGACGGUGACCCUGGCCUGGUAGCUCAGCUCGGCCCGUGGCGUUGCGUUCCCUUCGUCGAUCCUCCAUCCUGCCGAGCGGAUGGAGCUGCGCAGGCUGUGCGAGUAGAAAAGCAGCGCCAGCAGCCAGACGACCGCCACCAGAAGGGUGCCCAGGCCGCAGGAUUUGCACAGGAGGCGCUUGAUUUGCAUCAUGGAUCGAGAUUAGAUUACGUUGUGCGCUUCCCUGGCUACUUAAGCAGCUACUUUGUCACUUUCAUGAUGAUCGGAAUAAAUUAAAUUUAAUUUGC